rnacentral:rRNA from 1 species
CCUACGGGAGGCAGCAGUAGGGAAUCUUCCGCAAUGGACGAAAGUCUGACGGAGCAACGCCGCGUGAGUGAAGAAGGUUUUCGGAUCGUAAAACUCUGUUGUUAGGGAAGAACAAGUGCCGUUCGAAUAGGGCGGCGCCUUGACGGUACCUAACCAGAAAGCCACGGUUAACUACGUGCCAGCAGCCGCGGUAAU